AGAGUUUGAUCCCUGGCUCAGAUUGAACGCUGGCGGCAGGCCUAACACAUGCAAGUCGAGCGAGAAAGCACUUCGGUGUAAGUACAGCGGCGGACGGGUGAGUAACGCGUAGGAAUCUACCCAGUAGUGGGGGACAACAUGGUGAAAACCAUGCUAAUACCGCAUACGCCCUAUGGGGGAAAGCAGGGGAUCUUCGGACCUUGCGCUAUUGGAUGAGCCUGCGUCAGAUUAGCUAGUUGGUGGGGUAAUGGCCUACCAAGGCAACGAUCUGUAGCUGGUCUGAGAGGACGAUCAGCCACACUGGAACUGAGACACGGUCCAGACUCCUACGGGAGGCAGCAGUCGGGAAUUUUGGGCGAUGGGGGAAACCCUGACCCAGCAACGCCGCGUGAGGGAUGAAGGCCUUCGGGUCGUAAACCUCUGUCGGGAGGGAAGAACGGUCAUUGGUCCAAUAGGCCAGUGAUUUGACGGUACCUCCAAAGGAAGCACCGGCUAACUCCGUGCCAGCAGCCGCGGUAAUACGGAGGGUGCAAGCGUUGUUCGGAAUUACUGGGCGUAAAGCGCGUGUAGGCGGCUUGGAAAGUCGGAUGUGAAAGCCCGAGGCUCAACCUCGGAACUGCAUUCGAAACUCUCAAGCUAGAGUCCCGGAGAGGAUGGUGGAAUUCCCAGUGUAGAGGUGAAAUUCGUAGAUAUUGGGAGGAACACCGGUGGCGAAGGCGGCCAUCUGGACGGUGACUGACGCUGAGACGCGAAAGCGUGGGGAGCAAACAGGAUUAGAUACCCUGGUAGUCCACGCCGUAAACGUUGGGUGCUGGUUGUCGCGGGUCUUGACCCCUGCGGUGACGAAACUAACGCUAUAAGCACCCCGCCCGGGGGAGUACGGUCGCAAGACUAAAACUCAAAAGGAAUUUAACGGGGGCCCGCACAAACGGUGGGAGCAAGUGGGUUCAAUUCUAAGCAACGCCGAAGAACCUUUCCCUGGGGUGUGACAUCUCCCAGAAACUCCCCUCAAAAGGGGAGAGUG
rnacentral:rRNA from 1 species